GCGCCGGGGCGGGGCGGCGGGAGGGGCGGGGCCGAGAGCACCUGCGGGCUCCGGCGUGCGGUCUGCUGGAGGGCGUCCUGACGGCGCCUCCACCGCGGCGAGUCCGGGCCGUGGCCGGCGGUGGGAAGCAGGCGAGGCGCGCCCGAGGAGAGGGGACGGUGAAGGAAGAAGCUCCAGGGACGUGGGACAGUGGCCGAGAAAAGUAGCGCGAGCUGUCGGGGGAACUCGGAGGGAAGGGACUGCGUGCGCACCUGACUGCGUCCUGGGGCAGGGGGCCGAGGGCAGCGGGUACUUUACCCUUUUAAAGGUUCACCGCAUUUCCCGCCCAAGUUUAAGCAAGGCGAGAGAAAAAACCCAAUAUACAUUCAUGUGCAUAUAUACACUUUUGUGUCGACCGUUUUAUUUCUGGGAACCCAAUUUGAAGGAAUUUUGUUGAUUUUAUUGCUGUUUAAACAAAAGUAGAGGAGCCCACCAUCUGAAUGCAGCGUUGGCUAAAGGUCAGCGGGAGACCCUGUCCUGGCCCCAUCAGUUAGCUGUCUCCACUGCGGACUGGGUGGAAAGGCAAAAGGUCGUGGAAAACGUUAAGGCACACGAAGUCCGGGAUUCAAAACAGCAGACAUUAACCAUGGCACUAGAUGGUUGAGUGACAUGGUCACCAGGCCAGACUCCACAUCAGCACUUUUGCAUGUCUGAAGAUGAUUGAGAAUUUACUUACUUGUCUUGAGAGAGAGAAAGAGAGAGAGAGAAUCUCAGGCAGGCUCUGCACUGUUAGCACAGAGACCAACCUGGGACUUGAGGUUACGAACCCCAUGAGAUCAUGACCUGAGCCGAAAUCAAGAGUCAGACGCUUAACCGACUGAGCCACCCAGGCACCCCUGUUUUAUUGUAAGUUUUGAAAAUGGGGCAGAAUGCCAAAACAACCUUGUAUCCCAAGGUAAGUUCUACUUGGUCAUUGUCUCAUGCUGCUGGAUUUGAUUUCCUUGUUUAUGUUCAUGUGGCAUAAUGUGAUGACUUUGGCCUCAACGAGCUUGGAAGUGGAUUCUUUUCCAAAGCCUCUAGUUAGAAGCCUGGUCCAGCUAAUGCCUUGAUUUGAGCCAUGUGACACACUGAGCAAGAGAGCCCUGUUGAGUCUGACUGGACUUCUGACCUACAAGAAGCAACUCGGAGGGAGUCUUUCACCAGCAUCCAGAUGCAGAUCUGAAUUUUACUUUUACCCACUAUAGCAUCACCCGCAUUGUGCGUCCUAUCGGCUUUUCCGUGUGGGUAAUUUCCUAACGAAUUCCUGAGAUGAGUCAACUUUGAAUAUGCCUUUGAAGAAGCCUCAGUCCAAGUAUGUGGAUUUAGAUCCCGUGGGUCCCUUGCUUACCCAGAAUCUGAACAGCCACCGCCAAGGGAGUACAGAGGACACUGGCUUUGAACCUUGCAAGGACUGCUUCACUACCUUCCAGGCUUGGUGAGGGCUUCGGUCUGGCAUUGGUAUUCUGGGAGUACCUGCUUCAAAAGAUCAGCGAUUUGAGGAGGAAAUAAGGGAGCCCGUGAAGAGUGCAGAGGAGGUUCAGUCCGUGCCAGCUGUACGAGUCCUGGGAAGUAAGUGCAGGCAUCUUUAGAUGCCAUAACAGAAUGUUCACCUCCAGACUUCGUGUGAAAUCAACCCCAAAACGAAGAGACUGAACUUGAAAGUGCAAAGCCCUUGAGCCCUCCUUUAAUGACACUUAACACACUCCCUUAUAGCGCCCAGGGGCUUGGGUAAGAGCAUUUAAAAUUUAAAAUGCUCAGUUGAGCGGCCGACUUCAGCUCAGGUUAUAAUCUUGCGGUUGGUGGGUUCGAGCCCCGUAUCGGGCUGUGUGUUGACCCAGAGCCUGGAGCCUGCUUCAGAAUCUGCGUCUCCCUCCCUCUCUGCCCCUCCCCAGCUCACGCUGUCUCUCGCUCCCCUUCAAAAAUAAAUAAACAUCAACAAAAUAAAAUACUCAUCCCUUAGGGUGCCUGGGUGGCUCAGUUGAUUAGGGCCUGACUCUUAACCUCAGGGUCCUGAGUUGAAGCCCCACAUUGGGCUCCAUGCUGAGUGUGGAACCUACUUAAAAAAAUAAAUAAAAUAAUAAAAUGCCCAUCCCUGCAUUACCAACCACGUUUCAGCUUUUUGCUGUUUCUGUCCCCAAAGAAACCUACACGCUCUGGUGCAGGAGGUAUGUUCAAGAACGUUCCCUGUAGCACUACCAAAAAACUGUAAAUAACCCAACUGUCCGCUAAUGGCUUCAAAAUAUAUAUACAAGGGAAUAGUUGGUGGUCCUUGUACAAGGUGCCCCACUGCUCUCUAAUAUGGAAAGUUCCUCAAAAGAUAUUGCUGAGUAUGAAAAAGAAAGUGGCAGAAUGACACAAAAGAUACCAUUUGUGUAAAAUCCCGAACAAAAUAAUCAUAUGUGGCUUCCUUAGGAAUGUGUACAUGUGUGUAAAUACAAUGAUGUUUUUCUGGAAACAGGACAGCCACAGAGUAUACAGUGGCUGAACGGGGUGGGAGCCCUAUCCCUGAUUCUGAUUUGCUAAAUGUAUUUCAAGUAUAAAGUAAAAAAUCAUCACAUACAGUGACGAAUAACCUGUAUUCCUAUUUAAUACCCAAUGU